rnacentral:rRNA from 1 species
CCUACGGGAGGCAGCAGUGAGGAAUAUUGGGCAAUGCGCGUAAGCCUGAACCAGCCAAGUCGCGUGAGGGACGAAGGUUCUAUGGACCGUAAACCUCUUUUAUAAGGGAAUAAAUUGUGGUACGUGUCCUUUUUUGUAUGUACCUUACGUAUAAGGACCGGCUAACCUCGUGCCAGAAGCCGCGGUAAUAUGGAGGGGCCGAGCGUUGUCCGGAUUUAUUGGGUUUAAAGGGUACGUAGGCGGCGUUUUAAGUCAGGAGUGAAAGACUAUGGCUCAACCAUAGAAUGGCCGGUGAAACUAGAAGGCUUGAGUAUGAUUGAGGAAGGCAGAAUGCGUGGUGUAGCGGUGAAAUGCGUAGAUAUCAGGAGGAACCCCGAUAGCGAAGGCGGCCAGCC